GGAGUUUGUUGCCUAGAGUGAUGGGCUCCGAAGCUAACGCGAUAAAUCGACCGCCUGGGGAGUACGGCCGCAAGGUUAAAACUCAAAUGAAUUGACGGGGGCCCGCACAAGCGGUGGAGCAUGUGGUUUAAUUCGAUGCAACGCGAAGAACCUUACCUGGUCUUGACAUCCAUAGAAUUCUGCAGAGAUGUGGGAGUGCCUUCGGGAACUAUGAGACAGGUGCUGCAUGGCUGUCGUCAGCUCGUGUUGUGAAAUGUUGGGUUAAGUCCCGCAACGAGCGCAACCCUUAUUCUUUGUUGCCAGCGAUUUGGUCGGGAACUCAAAGGAGACUGCCGUUGAUAAAGCGGAGGAAGGUGGGGACGACGUCAAGUCAUCAUGGCCCUUACGACCAGGGCUACACACGUGCUACAAUGGCGUAUACAAAAGGAAGCGAAGGUGCGAGCUGGAGCGGAUCUCAUAAAGUACGUCUAAGUUCGGAUUGGAGUCUGCAACUCGACUCCAUGAAGUCGGAAUCGCUAGUAAUCGUAGAUCAGAAUGCUACGGUGAAUACGUUCCCGGGCCUUGUACACACCGCCCGUCACACCAUGGGAGUGGGUUGCACCAGAAGUAGAUAGCUUAACCGCGAGGGGGGCGUUUACCACGGUGUGAUUCAUGACUGGGGUGAAGUCGUAACAAGGUAACCA
rnacentral:rRNA from 1 species